rnacentral:rRNA from 1 species
AACGAACGCUGGCGGCAUGCCUAACACAUGCAAGUCGAACGAGACCUUCGGGUCUAGUGGCGCACGGGUGCGUAACGCGUGGGAACCUGCCCUUAGGUUCGGAAUAACUCCCCGAAAGGGGUGCUAAUACCGGAUAAUGUCUUCGGACCAAAGAUUUAUCGCCUUUGGAUGGGCCCGCGUUGGAUUAGCUAGUUGGUAGGGUAAAAGCCUACCAAGGCGACGAUCCAUAGCUGGUCUGAGAGGAUGAUCAGCCACACUGGGACUGAGACACGGCCCAGACUCCUACGGGAGGCAGCAGUGGGGAAUAUUGGACAAUGGGCGAAAGCCUGAUCCAGCAAUGCCGCGCGAGUGAUGAAGGCCUUAGGGUUGUAAAGCUCUUUUACCCGGGAUGAUAAUGACAGUACCGGGAGAAUAAGCUCUGGCUAACUCCGUG